GAGAUCUCGAAGCAUUAUGGGCGGUAGCGAGAAGAAUCAGUGGGAGCCAUUGCACAGCACGAAAGUGCUUCCCGCGUGUGAGAACUCAUAAUAUUGCGAGUAACCUAACAUGAAUUGUGCUGUAUGCUUAGUUUGAAAUGAGGAUUAUCGUUUUAUUCAGUGCAAACAAUCCAAGUACGCAUGCAUCUGUGUAGCAGACAGUGACAUUUAUUCAGCGCCGUAAGCGCUAAAAUGUGGGAGGAAGACUUUAGUCAUCAUGCAAUGUGAAUGGAAAUAAUUCUGUUGGACAAAGAAAGGAAGUUCUUGAGGACAAAGAAAGUGCUAAGAUAUAAAAGAUGUUCUGGAAGUUUAACUUGUUAACAUCCUCCCAUGUGGACACGCUGCUUGAGAAGGAGGAGGUGACUUUGAGAGAACUGAUGGAUGAAGAUGACAUCCUUCAGGAGUGCAAAGCACAAAAUAGGAAGUUGAUUGAUUUUCUGACACAACCUGCAAACAUGGAGGAUAUGGUGUCAAUGAUCAUCAGGGAGCCAGCAGUUGACAUGGAAGAGCGACUGCGUUUUAAGUAUCCAAACACAGCUUGUGAGUUGUUGACUUCAGAUGUGUCACAGAUCAAUGAUAAAUUGGCCAGUGAUAGAGACUUAAUAGAUAAGUUGUACUACUUUUUGGAAGCUGACACUCCUCUGAAUCCUUUGCUUGCAUCUUUCUUCUCAAAGAUUAUGGGUCUGCUGAUCACAAGAAAGAGUGAAAUGAUUUUUGAAUAUUUGAAAGGCCAAAAAGACUUUGUCGGCAGCUUACUUCAUCAUAUAGGCACAUCAGCCAUUAUGGAUUUACUGCUUCGCCUAAUUACAUGCAUAGAAUCACCUGAAACAAGACGUGCUGUGAUAGAAUGGUUGAAUGAGCAGCAAAUUGUUCAAAGGCUUGUUGACUGUAUAGUCCCUUCCAAGGAUGAAGAUGUUCACUGCAAUGCUGCCCAGUCUCUUUGUGAUAUUGUGCGGUUAGGGCGAGAGCAGAUUAUCCAGCUGCAGGACACAAAUGAUCCUGAUCCACUCUUAGCUACCAUGGAAUUAGAAGAAACUGUUUCGAAGUUAAUAUCAAACAUGUUUGAUUUGGAGGAGAACGAAUCGGUUAUUGUCAAUGGCCUUUUUGUUAUUCAUACACUGCUGGAAGUCAGACGUCAAGGACCUGAGGCAGUUGGUGAGCAUUUGAACAUGACAGAGACAGAGCAUUCUCAGGGGAUCAACAAUGUCCUUGCAGCAAUAAAACCACGUCUCAAACAUUUUCAUGAAUUGCUGACCAACCCUCCAAAGCAACGUUAUAGUUCUAUGCCAACAUCUGUUGGAGCACUUGAGCCCCCUCUUGGAAAUGCCCGUCUACAAGUUGCAAAGCUUAUAACAGCACUAGUAGCUAGGAAUACAGGCACUAUCAAUGAAGAGCUUGUGCAUUUGAAGACUCUUCAUGCUCUGUUGGAUUUGUAUUUUCAGUAUACCUGGAACAACUUUUUACACACUCAAGUCGAACAGUGCAUCCUUCUAAUUCUCAAUAACCCAGCUCAAGAGAAGAACAACACUGAAGAUCACCUACUGCUUGCUCAGUUGUUGACGGAUGUGAAGCUGGUGCAGAGACUUCUGACUGAGUGGCAAGACAAUGAUCAUCAACAGUUACACAAAUGUUUCAGAAAGACUGAAGGAGGGCGAAGAAAAGGAUUUAUGGGUCAUCUAACUAAGAUGGCAAAUGCAGUGACCAGUGCAGUGGAGAAGGGCUGUAACAGUGAACUCAUCAAAAAAUAUUUAACUGACCUGCCUGAAGAUUAUAAGCAAAAGUGGGAAUCAUUUGUUUCCGGCACACUUGCAGAGAUCAACAAGAAAAAUGCUAUUGAAUUUAGAGGACAUCCACUGGCUUCUAGCAGUGAAGAUGAUGAUUCUGAUUUUAAAGACAUUCCAUUUCCCCAGGAUACAGCCAUGCAGCAAGCCUUCUCUGAUUACCAGUUGCAACAGAUGACAAGCAACUUCAUAGACCAGUUUGGGUUCAAUGAAGAGGAAUUUGCUGAACAGGAGGAUAAAAUUGAUGCACCAUUUUCUGACAGGAUAUCCAGUAUCAAUUUCAACAUUCAAGCCAAUGAAGUCGCUCACCCAAACUCAACUAUGUUUGAGCAAGCUUGUAACGAGCGGAUUCAACAAUUUGAUGAUGACGAUAGUGAUGAAGACAUUUGGGUUGAGAAACCACUUACCUUUGACAGAAAUGCAAAACAGACUCGCUCUGGGCGUUUACAGGGAGAAGCAGUACAGGUCAGUAGUAGCGAUGACAGCACUGAUAGUGAAGAAGAAUUGGAUUCGCCCCAUUCCAUUGCUCAACAGCCAUCCUCUGCUGCAAGUUCUUCAGUUAGUACUACUGCAACAGUUAGUGUGCCAUUCAUCACAGGAGCUGCAGAAAAAAUGGAUAUAGACACAUCAGAAGCAUCUUGGCCAGCAGAUUUAACCUGUAGUCAACAGUCAUCACAAAUUGAAUCGUCUGCAAUGGACACUGGCUCACCAUGGGAAAGUAAUAGUCUGCCAGCAGAGUCACGUGAAGGUUGGGCUAACUUUGACAAAUCUGAGGCACAGGAAGACAGUUGGGCAGAUUUUAAUUCCUUUUCAACUAUAACAAGGGAUAACGCUGGCCCAAGAAGUAGCUCACCUGUUGACAUGGAUACUUCAGAAAAUUCCAAAGGAAAUGUUUACGGUCCAUGUUGAGCUCUGUGACCUGAAGCAUACUCUCCAGCAAGCUGAGCAUGUUUGGUGGAAGACUGGACGCACCAUCCACAAAGAUUUAUAACGCCGCUAAGCAUUGCAGAAUGUGUCAACAAGGCCAAGACAUCAUAUCUUCAGGCCCAAUGUUAAAUACAGAUUCUUCGUCAACAUCAAGCUGUGUGUCUGGAUGUUUGGAGAUAAAAGUUACAAAGCAUCAUACUGAAGACCAGUGUUUGACCAAUUCCAUAAAGGGAUUUCAUUUAGAAAUGUCAACACCAGUCG
rnacentral:misc_RNA from 1 species